AUUGAACGCUGGCGGCAGGCCUAAAACAUGCAAGUCGAACGAGUGGCGGACGGGUGAGUAAUGUCUGGGAAACUGCCUGAAGGAGGGGGAUAAAUAAUGGAAACGGUAGCUAAUACCGCAUACCAUCAGAUGUGCCCAGAUGGGAUUAGCUUGUUGGUGGGGUAACGGCUAACCAAGGCGACGAUCCCUAGCUGGUCUGAGAGGAUGACCAUCACAACUGGAACUGAGUCACGGUCAAGCCUCCUACGGGAGGCAUCAGUGGUGAAUAUUGCACAAUGGGCGCAAGCCUGAUGCAGCCAUGCCGCGUGUAUGAAGAAGGCCUUCGGGUUGUAAAGUACUUUCAGCGUGGAGGCGUUACCCGCAGAAGAAGCACCGGCUAACUCCGUGCCAGCAGCCGCGGUAAUUC
rnacentral:rRNA from 1 species